UUUUUUUCUCUGAUGAUGAGCUUUGAUAAUGAAUGCUGCUGUUGUUGAAACCCUGGCUUUCCCAGAAAUCAUGUUUUUAUGAGGGUUGGCUAUUGUUGUUGCUCAUGUUGCAUGAAGUAUUUCAAUGCUAUGCUGGUCGAAUUUUUGUGAUGCUGUUGAUGCCAUAUACCUUGCUGCAGUUUAAAACCUUAUGAGCAUUGUCCUGAAAUCCAUGUGAAACAUUGUUGUAUGCUGUUGUUUGGUUGCAGUAGGAACAUUACCAAUACCACGCUGUUGUCUGUUUGUUUGGUCGAAUGAUGUUGAUGUUCAUGAUGCCCAGCUACAUAAACCCUUAAGAAACCCUGCUGCUGUUUUGCUAUCUUAAUAUGCCCAGAUUUUCCAUGGUUAAUGUUUUGUUGUUGUUGGUUAAUACUGCAUGAUGAUGAUGUUGCAUGGCCAUGUUUGUUUCUUGAUGUUGCAUCGUGUUGUUUGAGGUUUGUCCAUGACCAUGAAGU
rnacentral:lncRNA from 1 species